rnacentral:rRNA from 1 species
AUGUCACCUUCGAGUUCACCGGAGGUAGAGGAAUACCCGUCGAGCCGUCUAAUGUCGCUUCAUCAGACUUCGACGGAAAACAAGAUGGCAUCCUACAAUGCUCCACAGUUUGCCGGAACUUUGUCGGACAGUUUUACACUUGAGGUAUGUGGACAAGCAGGCUUGAAAUCAUGUUUUUUGGUUCUCUGGCAACCUACAGUCCAUUGCUUCAAAUAUGUCUGCAACCUCUCUUCCUUCCCAACUCGCUUUGUCUGCUUGACUGCAUCUCAAUUUGAUCUUAUGUAUUAUUAUUUUACUAUAUUCCUCGCCCAUACUAAUCUCUCUCUGGACGUAUUUAUUGACACUAAUUAA